GCAGUCGACGCACUUUCGUUAUUGAUUUUGAGAUGCUUGCAUCGAAGAUGAUUUUAACUAUAAAGUGAGUGGCGAACGGGUGAGUAACACGUGGGUAACCUGCCCAGAAGUGGGGGAUAACACCUGGAAACAGAUGCUAAUACCGCAUAACAAAAUUAACCGCAUGGUUGAUUUUUAAAAGAUGGCUUCGGCUAUCACUUCUGGAUGGACCCGCGGCGUAUUAGCUAGUUGGUGAGAUAAAGGCUCACCAAGGCAGUGAUACGUAGCCGACCUGAGAGGGUAAUCGGCCACAUUGGGACUGAGACACGGCCCAGACUCCUACGGGAGGCAGCAGUAGGGAAUCUUCCACAAUGGACGCAAGUCUGAUGGAGCAACGCCGCGUGAGUGAUGAAGGCUUUCGGGUCGUAAAACUCUGUUGUUGGAGAAGAACGUGUGUGAGAGUAACUGCUCAUGCAGUGACGGUAUCCAACCAGAAAGCCACGGCUAACUACGUGCCAGCAGCCGCGGUAAUACGUAGGUGGCAAGCGUUAUCCGGAUUUAUUGGGCGUAAAGCGAGCGCAGGCGGUCUUUUAAGUCUAAUGUGAAAGCCUUCGGCUUAACCGAAGAAGUGCAUUGGAAACUGGGAGACUUGAGUGCAGAAGAGGAGAGUGGAACUCCAUGUGUAGCGGUGAAAUGCGUAGAUAUAUGGAAGAACACCAGUGGCGAACGCGGCUCUCUGGUCUGCAACUGACGCUGAGGCUCGAAAGCAUGGGUAGCGAACAGGAUUAGAUACCCUGGUAGUCAUGCGUAACGAUGAUGCUAGUGUGGAGGGUUUCGUCCUUCAGUGCUGCAGCUACGCAUUAAGCAUUCCGCC
rnacentral:rRNA from 1 species